GACGGGGGGUCCUAGCGUUGUUCGGAAUCAUUGGGCGUAAAGCGGGCGUAGGUGGCUAUGUAAGUCAGGAGUGAAAGCCCUGGGCUCAACCCAGGAAGUGCUUUUGAAACUGCGUAGCUUGAGUGUGGAAGAGGAUAGUGGAAUUCCUGGUGUAGUGGUGAAAUACGUAGAUAUCAGGAGGAACACCGGUGGCGAAGGCGGCUAUCUGGUCCAACACUGACACUGAGGCCCGAAAGCGUGGGGAUCAAACAGG
rnacentral:ncRNA from 2 species